rnacentral:rRNA from 1 species
AUGCAUCGUCAAGUGGACCACCAUUUUUCUGCAGCCGCUGCGCUCCUGUCCGCCGCUGCAAAGGGCCGUCGCUCGCCAUUGUUGCCGCAGUGGGGUGCUGCAGCCGGGGGGCACGUGCCGGGGGGCGCGUGCCGACGGUCCCUAGUGCUGGACGGGCAACGAGCGGUCGCCGUAGGUGCUGCAACUGGGUUUGCCGCGACGCUGCCUACAAUGCAGCGGGGGCCACGCUCGUGCACUGGGGCCGGUGACUCACGGUGCUGCGUUGCAGCGGCCACCGCCGGCUCCUCGAAGCUGCAAGGCAGCGCUUGUCGGCGGCUUCGGUGCCGCAAUACAGAGGUUGCCAGAGGCUCCACUGCGGCGGUCGUCGUUGGCUCUCGAAGCUCCGAUAAAGCGCUCGCGGGCAACUCCGACGUUGCAAUGGAGCGCUCGUCGGCGACUACGAGGCUGCAAUGGAGCGCUCGCCGGCGACUACGAGGCUGCAAUGGAGCGCUCGCCGGUUCCGAUGCAGCGGUCGUUGUCGGCUCUCGAAGCAACAAUGGUCCGCCGGCUCCGAUGCUGUAA